GUUUGCAGCUCGUUUUGCUGUUUGCUGCGCGUUUGCAGUUGUCGGCCACAGUUUCUGAUCAAGUCAUUAUCUCCUCAACCUUCACCAUCAUCUGUUACAACCAGUAGAUCAGUAGAUGGACAAAGUAACCUGCUGUGUCCCCCUGUUGCAUCAGGAAACUUCAUCUUGGGAUUUCCAGCAGGAUUUUCUGAGUCCCUUCAGUCCUCUGUGUCUUCUCUCUCCUGAUUGGUCCAGUGCUGCUGGUGAUGCUGGAGAAUCAUCACAUAAUAAUACACACAUUCCUUAAUCUCUGUCUAAAUAACAGAUGAUUAAAGUGAAUUCCUGAUCAAGUCA